AGGAACUAAAACCUUUGAAUCCAGGAGCCAGAAUCCUCUCCAGCUGAUCAUCUCUGGUAUUUUAGCACAGUGGGAGAAGACUAACACAAACAGAGUGAGAAGCAGAUCAAAUAAGCUGCCCAUGCAGUGUGUCUCAAGGCUGACGUGAAUAGAGAUGAGGCUGUGUUGUGGAAUAAUCUUUUUGUACACUGUGAAGAUGUGUCACUCUGAGUGGUUUAAUAAAAAGCUGAACAGCCAAUAGCUAGGCAGGAUUUCUGGGCAGAGAGAACCUUGAGAAGAAGAAGAAGAAGGUGGAGACACCAGGAAACACAGAGCAAGCUGGAUGAGCAUUAUGGAGAUGAGAUCUUUCUCUGUCAGAGAUUUGGAAAACAUGCUGCUUUGUGUCAAGAAAGUGGAAGGCUGUGGGAACCCAAGGCUGGAAACAUUUCCAUCUAUAUGAAGAUGUCUCACAUAUGAGAUAUCUGUGAAUUAUUAUGACAGCUAUGAAUCGGAUAUGCUGGGCAAGCAACCCAAACCAUUGUUUUCAAGCUGAGGAGUGUAGUUCAUUGGUGGAGUUCUUGCCUCCCCAUAUGCCAUCCACAGCCCUGAAGGAGAAACAAAUAAAAAGCAAAAUCUCUUAGAAAUUCAAAUUUUGACUUUGACCUUUGAUUUUGAAAAGUUCCUGGACAAGACUACCAAAGGACGGGCCUCUCACUCAGGUUAAUUACCAAAUUCCAUUCUACCUCAAAUUCUUUUCACUUUGCAUUAAAAAUAAUAAGUGGUGCUAAUUCUGGGUGUGUAUACAAAAUAUUUAUAUUUUACAACCUAGCCAUAGAAAAGUGUCUCUAUUUUCUAUUUGGGUAUGUGUUAAUUUACAUUUAUGUUUUACAAUAUAGAAACCAAGGUGAAUGCAAUACCUUAAGCUGAGAAAGAGUCCUGAUUAUUCCUAAUAAUUUUGUGCAGUGUUCAUAACAUUCAGUUUCGAACAGAACACCACACACACACACACACACACACACACUUUCAUUGGCUCUGCUGUUUUUCAAUAUAAUUUUAAGCUCCCUAAAGAAACAAGAUGCUUCAAGUAGAGCUUUAAAUACAGUCUCUUAAAAGCACAGGGAAUGAUGAUUUCAGCCAGUUUUACAUUUCAGCAGAAACAUAUGCAGCAGCAGCUGAGCGCUGGAGCUUGGAGACCAUGGAUCUUCUGGAACCCAGCAAGGAAAUUGUGACUUGCAUGCAAAGUACCAGAGAAUCACUUUUCCUCGUUUGUGAAUUAAGCUGAGACUUCAGAAGGAUCAAAAAGACAAAGAAACAUAUUGCGUUUUCAAUCUGCUGAUCUUCAACAGAACUCUAAGCAAAUUCCAAUGAAAUUAAUUAUGUACUAAAUCCUUCAAUGAUACUGAAAAGGCUUUCUUUUCUGUAGUAGCUGAGUAGUGUCUUUUAAAUGUCUUUUUCUAUGUGUCUUAACAGUAUAAAACAAAUCCAAAGCCACGGUGAAAGACUGUAAGGAGAAAAUGUAUUCCUCAGGUGUUGAAUCUUCCCAAGGCAUGCAAGCGUUACUCCUGUGCUCUGUGGCCGGCUCAAGGCACUGCUCAAUUAUCAUCUGUUGCCAUGAGGGAUCGUGUUUUAAUCUGUAUAUAAACAAAGUGAUAAAAUAAAAACAUCACAUUUACAAAGCCGAAGGAUGCUCCAUUUUAUGAGAGGAUGCCAGCAAUUACUGUAGUCAUCUUGCUCGCUUGCCAUAAUAGUAUCGAAUAGGACGCAUCUGCAUGUAAUGUCAGACAGCCCCAUCACAAAUGCCACAACUAAUGUGAAAAUCACUACCCUCUCCUAGCAGAGUGGAGGAACCUGAAAAUGCCAUACCACUGGGUAUUUAAUGAUAGCUUUCAUGUAUUAAAGAUGCACAUUUGCACAUCAUUACCUUUGUGGAGAACCUGAUUCAUUUGCUCACUGUAACAGGAAAAACAAAUCCGAAAAGGUGAGCUCAGCUUCCUACAGAGUCUGGAAUCUAAAUGAGGGACCAUAAUCCUGCAAGGUUUUUAAAAAAUGAAAGUUGUUUUGGGAGAGAAUGGUUGUCACAGUUAGAAUCCCAGAGUCUAGAUACAACAAGAGACCAUAAAAUUCCCCGAUUGUCUAAUGACUUGGA